UUUAGCCAAAAAAUCCAAAGAAAUUUCCAGAGAAAGAAAAAGGAAAAAACCUCAUCUCUUCUUCUUCCCCAAGAAGGAAUAUUUUCCUACACCAUCCAUUAAAGCUUAAGGUUUGGGAAUUCAAGCUUCUUUUAUUCAUUAUCUACCUCUAGCAACAAUAAAAUAAGACCGUACGCGUAUUUGGAUUGAAGAAGUAGAGAAUUUGAAGGGUUAAGCAACGAGCUAUUUUAUUUGCUUGUUAUUAUAUUUGGAUUAAGCGAUCGAGUGUUUUCUUUCAGGAUUAAUAUAUGGUGAUGUGGUCGAGCUUCCAUCUGUUGUUCCGGAAGUCUCAGUUAUGGGGAGUCCUAUUUUCUUUAGACCUGCAGUAGUUAUGAUAAUAGACAUAGCCGAUAGCAAAUGAUUUAUGCUUGUUUUACACCUUGUACUAGCAACAUAUUUUCGAAAAGUGAAUUAUUCAGGAAUUUAAUAUAUGGUUAUUUGGUAUGUUAUACAGGGUGGUUUGUGUGUUUUUAACAGGUGUGGUUUAUUAAGUUUACAGGCGUUAUAUUGUCGAUUUUUUUGAAAAUGGUUUUACUAAGUAUUAUAACGAUUUUGAGACGCGAAAAAGUUUUAGGUAAAUUUAGGCUUGCUACGGGUUUCGGAACCAAACCCAUUCCCUAGCGCCGGUCGCGGCCUUCGAUUUCGGGUCGUGACAAAAAAAGAGAGACAUUCUUUAAGCAUAACAAACUGAUUAAGAAUUGUUCACGACCUCUCUUCAAGAACAUAUUGAUAAUCAUCCGCAUGAGAAAAUAUAAAAGUAAAUAAUUUAGUAGCCGUCGAUCUCCACUAGAAAUUUUAAAUUCCAAUCAAUUUGAACCAUAUUAAUUUCUAAUCGUAAAUACUAUUUUUUUAGGAUGAUUAAAAUAAAAUAUUAUUAUAAAAUAAUUAAACUAAUAUUAUUUUUGU